UACGUAGGGGGCAAGCGUUGUCCGGAUUUAUUGGGCGUAAAGAGCGUGUAGGCGGCCUUACAGGUCAGCUGUGAAAACUCGAGGCUCAACCUCGAGACGUCGGUUGAAACCGUAUGGCUAGAGUCCGGAAGAGGAGAGUGGAAUUCCCGGUGUAGCGGUGAAAUGCGCAGAUAUCGGGAAGAACACCCGUGGCGAAGGCGGCUCUCGUGGGACGGUACUGACGCUGAGACGCGAAAGCGUGGGGAGCGAACAGGA
rnacentral:rRNA from 1 species